GCCAAGAUUUGUACCACUAGCUCUAGCUAAGGAGAGUUCGUGGUUGUAAAGAAGGCACCAGUAGGACAAGCCUAACAUGUAGCUCAGGUGUGCAUCUCCUUCUUUCUGAUUCGAUUCUGGUUUGUAUGGCCAGGACAAAGGAUCGAGUACAUAUUUUCUUUAUUUACCUGCUUCUCUUGUGUUUAGUUAAUCCUCUACCCGUACUUUUCUGCAUUUGCAUACUCUAUUUCAGCAGUACAAGGUGGAAUGAUUGACUGCAGCUAGAUCUGUAGUGCGCAAUGUGGUGCUGUGUGGAGAUGCAAUGGUAGCAGACAGAAAAGCUGCUUACUCAGCUGAUUGUGUGAAACCAGGUACAAAAGAGUGUGAAAACAGGUGUGCAAGGGUGUGAAAUCGGGGAAAAAAGUAUCCUUUGUAUGAUCACUGACAACACGGUUCACUACUUACUCGCAACUAUUUGUGUUCCAAGUAUGAAAACAUUGACAAGUUAUGCUUUCUCUUGUCAUGCUGAUCAUAUAUAUGGUCUGUCAUAGAAGACUUCUUGGCCCAUGAUGACCUUGCACACGUCUCACAAAUUAUUCCAGAUCCGUAGCAUACAAGUGGACUUGUGCUUUUUCCAGGUUCUCCUCUCACUGUUUAUUCCGACUGUAUCCUCUUCUGGUAAUUUUUUUACCAAUAAUUUUUUCAAACGAUUCUGUGUAAAGCCAAGAAGCCUUGCUCUUCAGAUAAAAUUUUAACAUUCCAUGAUCA